rnacentral:lncRNA from 1 species
AUCUCGACAUGCACUUGAACUCACAGGUGAGACUGCCUUCCGUUCCCUUCUUGUGUUAUGGAGCGGCUCUCCGGCCAGCUCCGGCUGGGCAACUUGACUCUCCUGCAAAAAAUGGUCCUCAGGAGGGGCUACAGAGUUGGGGACAUCUCUGACACCCACUCUGGCCCCGUCUUGAAGGAAAUCACCAUUAUCAGCGUCUGCAAGAGCUCCUCAGCCGGCGCAUGUACUCCUCACACCAUCUCUACAGUGUAGGAACCACAUUCACAGUUCCAUGCAAGGAAAUGGAAGCUUCUAGAAACCAGGUGACUCACAAAGCCAGGAAGCAGUAGGGACGGCGUUCAAACCUGGGUUUGUCUGAAACCAAAGCCCAUGUUGCUUUCUCUGGAUUAGAACUACUCACAAUGGAAGCGUGGACUGGUUCUGGAAUAUUCCACCACCACCUGUGCUUCCACAGAAUAUCUGAUUUCCAGCUGAAAGAGCGACUCAUGUAAAAAGGAGGUGGUUGGGAAAGGGAACUUUUCUCUUCUCCACGUAGUUUUUAGAAGAAGCAUUCUUCCUCCGGAUCCCUGGAGCAGGUGGCCACUGCCUCCACCUCGGGAAAGUCGGAUUGGCACUGUUUCUCCAAGCGGGUGGACUGUUUUGGUGGAAGUUUGUGGUAAAACACUGCCCUCAUCUGGACUUCUGGGCAUCAUGCAAUGGGGUGGCUACAGAGGAUUCUCAGAAGAACAAAAGUGCGCCUGGGUUACGUGCCCAGAGACACAGUGAAAAGCUGCUCCUACUGUUCAUCAUGCGUACGCCUUACUCUUCGGACUGACUCCUCAGAAUGGAAGCAGAAAGACGUUUUGGAACUGGCUGAACAAUGAUUUCCUAUCCUUUCUUUUUUUCUUUUUUGAGGAAGAUUAGCCCUGAACUAACUGCUGCCAAUCCUCCUCUCCUCCUUGUGGAGGAAGACUGGCCCUGAGCUAACAUCCGUGCCCAUCUUCCUCCACUCUCAUCCUUUUUUACGGAGGUGGCUGAGUUCUGUGGACAGAAGUAGGUAAAAAUCUUUAACCACAGGACAGACUGAGUAAUCGAAGUAAUACACCUAAACCAUCAGACACAAAGAGCUCCAACGAACCCUGAAUAGCAAGAACUUCGCAUGUAUAAGAUGGAUGGAGAAAGAACAGAGUGACUAGAGGUCGGCAUUUGCGUUUUGGAGUCAAAUAGACUUCAUUUGGUUCUCUUCUCUUCCAUUUAUAAGCUAUGUGACUUAGGC